CCCCGCGUAGUUCAAUGGAUAGAACAGCGGCGUCCUAAGCUGUCGAUCUCGGUUCGAUUCCGGGCGCGGGGA
rnacentral:tRNA from 1 species